rnacentral:rRNA from 1 species
CCUACGGGUGGCUGCAGUGGGGAAUAUUGGACAAUGGGGGCAACCCUGAUCCAGCCAUGCCGCGUGUGUGAAGAAGGCCCUCGGGUUGUAAAGCACUUUCAGUGAGGAAGAACGCCUGGUGGUUAAUACCCAUCAGGAAAGACAUCACUCACAGAAGAAGCACCGGCUAACUCCGUGCCAGCAGCCGCGGUAAUACGGAGGGUGCGAGCGUUAAUCGGAAUUACUGGGCGUAAAGCGCGCGUAGGUGGCUUGAUAAGCCGGUUGUGAAAGCCCCGGGCUCAACCUGGGAACGGCAUCCGGAACUGUCAAGCUAGAGUGCAGGAGAGGAAGGGAGAAUUCCCGGUGUAGCGGUGAAAUGCGUAGAGAUCGGGAGGAAUACCAGUGGCGAAGGCGGCCUUCUGGACUGACACUGACACUGAGGUGCGAAAGCGUGGGUAGCAAACAGGAUUAGAUACCCUAGUAGUC